ACGGAAGGCCAGCAGUAGGGAAUAUUGCACAAUGGGGGGAACCCUGAUGCAGCAACGCCACGUGUGGGAAGAAGCAUUUCGGUGUGUAAACCACUGUCGUGAGGGAAUAAGACCCGCCUCCGGGCGGGGUUGAAUGUACCUCGAAAGGAAGCACCGGCAAACUUCGUGCCAGCAGCCGCGGUAAUACGAGGGGUGCAAGCGUUGUUCGGAAUCACUGGGCGUAAAGGGAGCGUAGGCGGAGGAGCAAGCGGUCUGUACAAUCCCGGGGCCUAACCCCGGACCUGCAGACCGGACUGCUUCUCUUGGAUAGUUCAGGGGCAGGCGGAAUUCCUGGUGUAGCGGUGGAAUGCGUAGAGAUCAGGAAGAACACCGAUGGCGAAGGCAGCCUGCUGGGGACUCAUCGACGCUGAGGCUCGAAAGUGCGGGUAGCAAACAGGAUUAGAUACCCUGGUA
rnacentral:rRNA from 1 species